GAAUAUUGGACAAUGGGCGAAAGCCUGAUCCAGCAAUGCCGCGUGAGUGAUGAAGGCCUUAGGGUUGUAAAGCUCUUUUACUGGGGAUGAUAAUGACAGUACCCAGAGAAUAAGCUCCGGCUAACUCCGUUCCAGCAGCCGCGGUAAUACGGAGGGAGCUAGCGUUGUUCGGAAUUACUGGGCGUAAAGCGCGUGUAGGCGGCCAGGUAAGUCGGAUGUGAAAUCCCGGGGCCCAACCCCGGAACUGCACCCGAUACUGCCCGGCUGGAGUCCCGGAGAGGAUGGCGGAAUUUCCGGUGUAGAGGUGAGAUUCGUAGAUAUCGGAAGGAACACCAGUGGCGAAGGCGGCCAUCUGGACGGUGACUGACGCUGAGACGCGAAAGCGUGGGGAGCAAACAGG
rnacentral:rRNA from 1 species